UUGUACUCUACUAGAUUGUAGAGAAUAUGAGCCUAGACCAAAACAUUAACUCCCGGGUCUUAUGAAUUUUUCUCUGCUGGUUUUUUCUUUACUCUCAUGGGUCUCCCAUCAAUUCCUAGAAUUUGCUGAACACUUCAACGCGUUUGAUGUGGAAAAAAAAGAAAAGAAAAAUAAAAAUAAUGUACAGUUGCCACCCAAAACUUUCAGUACUCAGUCUUCCCUCUUGUCUAAGCUGUCUUCUUCGUUUACUUAGUCAUUUCCAUUUUCUUCCAGGGAAGAUUUCAAGUUCUUACCCACUGUCUCUGUGUAUGAGAGAGAGAGUGUGUGUGUGUGUGUUUUGGCUACUCGAUUUUGAUCUGUGGAAAAGUACAGCAUAGACUUGGGAUCAAUUUUGAUGGUUUUGCUUCAUAGGUUUGUAAAGUUACAGGCUUUGCUUUCUGGGUCAUUGAAAUAAUCAAGUUUUGAUUUUGAUUCAUUGGUUUUUUUUUGAUUAAAUUGAUUAUAUGCUUCAUGGGUUUUCCAUAUUAGUUCAUAUGCUUUGAGGGUUUGUGGAAUUGGAACUAGCUGUUUUGUUUAAUUUGUAUCUAGAAUAGGAUCAAUUAAACAACAAUGGCUGGACUGCUGAAAAAGUUGUGGCCAGCAGCUGUGCCUGCAAUUCCUGAAAAUGGUGAUGAAGAAAUCUUCAAUACGGAGUACUCUAUUGCUAUGGAGUACCAUGGGUCUCCUGUCACCUAUGCUAUCCCGCAAAUAAUACCAGUUAACAUUAGCCAAAUCCCAAUUGCAUCUCCAGUUUCUUCAGGCACUUUGUUGAAUAGUCUCUCACUCCCAAUUAUCCAACCAAUUGUAAAGUCCAAAACUUUAAACCAGAAACCGUCAAAGGUGUCAGUAGAUAGGAUAGAUAGCUCGGGUAAAUUAGCUUGUGAGAAUGUUUAUGAGUCUAAACCCAAGUUAUCACAUGGAAUUGGAAGUUCUGGUACAUUGGAAGUACCUGAUGGUGACAAGGAGGAUGGAGGUUUUCAAGAUUAUAUGAAUCCAACGAAUUGGGAAUCAACAGAAUCUGGUUUAAGCUCACGGGUGCCUUCCUCUGAGGUUUUUUCUUGCAGAGAGGAUGAUGGUAAUGAUGAAACUCCCCACCAUGUCAGAAAGCCAUCGGUGACUUUUUUUGAACCUGAAUCGAGUGAAGGGGUAGUAGUUCACGAAGGAAUUGAUGAGUCUGAGGAAGGAAGUGUUAGUAUGAGGCCUAAGAUUGAGAGAUUAAAGAAAGGGGUAUGCUAUCGAUGCCAUAAGAGAAAACGGUUCGCAGAGAAGGAGGUUUGCAUUGUUUGUGGAUCUAAGUUUUGUUAUGAUUGUGUGCUGAGAGCAAUGGGGUCAAUGCCAGAAGGAAGGAAAUGUGUUACUUGCAUUGGUUAUAGGAUUGAUGAGAAGAGGCGAGGGACGUUGGGCAAGGGUCCUAGGUUGCUUAAGCGGCUGCUCACUGAUUUGGAAGUUAAGAAUAUAAUGAAUUCUGAGAUGCUAUGUGAAGUGAAUCAGCUGCCACCAGAGCUUGUUUUUGUGAAUGAUGAGGCUCUUAGACAAGAUCAGCUCUUCAAAUUACAAAACUGCGAAUAUCCACCCAAAAAACUGAGACCAGGACACUAUUGGUAUGAUAAAGUAUCCGGUUUCUGGGGAAAGGAAGGACAAAAGCCUUCCCAGAUUAUUACCUGCCACCUGGAUGUUGGGGGCCACGUCAAGAGAAAUGCUAGCAACGGAAACACAAAUGUAUUGAUAAAUAACAGGGAGAUAACAAAAGAAGAGCUUUGGAUGCUAAAGUCGGCUGGGGUGCCGUGUGAAGGAAAGCCUCACUUUUGGGUGAGUAAAGACGGGACAUACCAGGAAGAGGGGCAGAACAAUGAAAAGGGUAAAAUAUGGGACAAGACUAGAACAAAGCUGGUUUGUGCAGUCUUGUCUCUGCCAGUUCCUCCUCGUUCUGAAAAUCCUUCUCGGAAAGAAGUGAAUGGAGAAAUCCGAGACAACCUUGCGCAGAAAUCUAUUCAUAAAUUUCUUUUAGUUGGUUAUGACAAAUCUGGCACAAGUACGAUAUAUAAACAGGCCAAGAUUCUGUAUGGUAUUCCUUUCUCUGAAGAUGAGCGCCAAACUAUCAAGUUUUUAAUCCAAAGAAAUUUAUUCGGAUAUCUCGGUGUUCUUUUUGAGGGACGAGAACGAUUUGAAGAAGAAAGUUUGCUUGAGAAGCGGAAAAGAUGUGUUGUCGAUAAGUCUGGACCUUCAGGUGAUACAAUUCAGCAGAUUGACAAUACAACAAUCUAUUCCGUUGGGGAAAGAGUGAGAGCUUUCUCAGAUUGGCUCCUCCAAGUUUUGCUGUCAGAUAAUUUGGAAGCUGUAUCUACUGGUGAAUAUACACCAUUUAUUGAGGAGAUGUGGAAGGACACAGCCAUUCAAGCAACAUACAACCGGAGGAAUGAAUUACAAAUGCUACCCAGAGUAGCUACUUAUUUCCUAGAUCGGGCUGUUGAGAUUUCUAGGACAGAUUAUGAACCCUCUGACAUGGACAUCUUGUAUGCUGACGGGAUUACCUCAUCCAAUAGCCUUACUUGCAUGGAAUUUUCAUUUCCCAAGUCAGCACAAGAUGAUUCACUGGAUCCUUUUUAUCGGCAUGAUAGUUCACUGAGGUGUUGAGUAAUUAGAGUGCAUUUCCAGGUACCACAAUUAGAGUACCCAAGAAGCCUAGGAAAACACUGCAAGUGGUUGGACAUGUUUGAAGACAAUAUUGUCCUUUUUUGAACUGGAUGAAUAUUCUGUGAAUGGAGUUCUAACCAACAAAAUGUUGGCAAGCAAGGAUCUCUUUGAAAGCAUGGUCACUCAUCCAACAUUUGAGAACAAGAACUUCCUGUUGAUUCUCAACAAGUUUGACCAGGAGAAGAUUGAACAGGUCCCUCUCUCACAACACUUUAAGCCUAUUGUCAGCCAGAAUCGUCACAACAGCACUAAUCCCUCGUUGGCUCAACGUGCUUUCCACUAUAUUGGAAUGAAGUUCAAGAAACUUUUCAGUUCUCUUACAGAUAAGAAGUUGUUUGUUUCACUAGUAACGGGGUUGGAAAAUGACACGGUGGAUGAAGCUCUUAGGUAUGCAAGGGAGAUUAUCACGUAUCAGGAAGUAGAAGAGCCCUACUUUAAUAACGAGUUGUCUUCUACGGACAUUGAGGCAAGCUCCUCUGCAUGAUUUUUUGCUCAAAAAUUACUUGUUAGUCCUUAUUCUACUAGCAUUGUUUCGCAAAAGUUUGUACAUACACACACGAAACAUGUAUAGAUCCGAAUAAGAGUCUGUUUAGAUAUUUUUGACAAAGUAUGAAAGUUAUAUAUUUUAGGACUUCGCAGAUUUAACAAAAAAGAAAAGAAAAGAAAAUAUUUGUUCU